GAUGAACGCUGGCGGCGUGCCUAAUACAUGCAAGUCGAGCGAACAGAUGAGGAGCUUGCUCCUCUGACGUUAGCGGCGGACGGGUGAGUAACACGUGGAUAACCUACCUAUAAGACUGGGAUAACUUCGGGAAACCGGAGCUAAUACCGGAUAAUAUAUUGAACCGCAUGGUUCAAUAGUGAAAGACGGUUUUGCUGUCACUUAUAUAUGGAUCCGCGCCGCAUUAGCUAGUUGGUAAGGUAACGGCUUACCAAGGCAACGAUUCGUAGCCGACCUGAGAGGGUGAUCGGCCACACUGGAACUGAGACACGGUCCAGACUCCUACGGGAGGCAGCAAUAGGGAAUCCUCCGCAAUGGGCGAAAGCCUGACGGAGCAACGCCGCGUGAGUGAUGAAGGUCUUCGGAUCGUAAAACUCUGUUAUUAGGGAAGAACAAAUGUGUAAGUAACUAUGCACGUCUUGACGGUACCUAAUCAGAAAGCCACGGCUAACUACGUG
rnacentral:rRNA from 1 species